GGUGGGAGACGGGCAGAUCUCCAGCAGCGGAAAUGGGAAGCAGCGCAGGUGCCUGGCUGAACCGCAAGCACUCAGCUCCAGGUGCAGCGCUGCCUCGAGCUGCUUUGUCUUUAGCCCUACGGUGUCAUGUGGGAGCAGCCCCUAGGCACCACCUCCUAACAGCACACAAAUUGCCUGCCCCAGGACCCCCUGCAGUUUCUCACCAGCAUAGAUGUUAUGCACCUUUCUCCGGGCAAACAAGACGCACUUUGAUAUUAACAUUUUCAGUAGUCUCAAAAUUGCAAGAUCUCCUCCCUCUUCUUCCCCACUCCUAUCAGCAACCAGAAAAUGUCCUCAAAAUUUGAUGGAAAGACAAGACACGUGAGAUAGUAUGUUAUUCUCAAUGGAGUUUCUGGAGCAGCUGAAGUUUUGAGCUCAUCUACGGCUCUCUCUGAUUCAGAAUUGCAUUUCUCCAAAAUUUCAACCGUGAUGAACUUUCCCAAAACAGAAGCAGCAAGCUGCUUCCCACCAUCACAUACUUGGCCUGUAUCCUGUCUAUCCAUAUGCAGCAGAUGUAAAUAUAAUUUACUGGCACAAGCAGCUUUCUGCACAUGGCAGCAUUCUGAGUCUCCUUUAGCAUCCAUGUGAAGAAAUAAACCAUUUUACUGAUACACUCGAAUUCCCCAAUAAUGUUCCAUAAUGACCUGUGAAUUGUGAUCUUUCUUAAUAUGCACUGACCAAUUACUCACAUAAUCAUGUUUCACAUCGUUUUGCUGAAUUGUUAAUAAUUCUCACCAAAGUAAAAACAGUUCCUUACAGACGACAUAAGUCUUCACUCUGCUGGCUUCCAUAUAUGGUAAACUAGUGCAUAUACAGAUUCAGUGCCAACACCAGUUGCAUCAGUUAAUUUGGGCAUGACCUCUUCCAGCUGUGCCCAAUUACUGCAGGUAAAGCUUGAAAAUUCUCCCAGCACUUUAAGGAUGUCCAGAGAUGCUCUGGAGAGCAAAUUGAAGUAAAUGCACACAAUCUAUCUUUCUACCCUAUAGAAAUUAAAUGGCCAGAGUGAUAGUGCUUUAAUCAGGGAGAAGAAGACUAUAAAGUCAGAAUGAAGUGUUCUGGAUGGAGACAACCUGUCUAGUGGUGAUGGGAAAUCCUGCGUAUCAGCACAUUCCCUCUUGGCUUCGUCCCUGCUCACUGGAUGUGACUCAAAGGAAAUGCUGGGCUUCAGUUUCUUCAUCAGCAAAAUGGGGAUAAUAUUUCCACUUAUGCAAGUCACUUUAAGUGGAAAGCACUGCAUUCAUGCAAGAUAGCAUUAUUGUGCCAGUAUACCACAGAGUUUUUCACUUUCUGCCUGGAACAUUUCAUACAAAUCCCUCCACAUAUGGAACAGAAUGAGGAUUGCAGACUGCAGAAAAUGUAAUUUUUCGGGAGCUGACAGUGCCACUUGCAUUUGUGUGUUUUCGCAUUUCAAACAGUCAGCCUUGGCAAUGAAAUUCGCAUCAUCUGGUGGCUGUUCUGAACUGAGCUGACCACAGUGUGCUCCUGGCAGGGCUGGACAGCAGAGGGCUAGCACAUGCCAUGCAGCCCCCACACCUUGGGGCAGGGGGAUUGGUGCUUUGCAUCGUCUUACCCCACAGAUAGGCAUUGCCAUAAUGCCUGGUUGCUGCCCCACAUCCUCUGAGCCCACCUGGCCCCACUGGGGCUACUAACAAAGUGCAGUGCAGCUCUGUGAGCUCAGGACCAGACUGUGGACAUGCAUCAUAUGUCAUGUGGCCAUCAAAGACAGAGGAAUUACAUUUUAAUUACUGUAUUUAUCUCAGAGAACACAACAGUUAGUUUUUCUAAUGAAAAUAAAUGGAAUAAAGGCUAACAGACUUUUGGUAGUAGAUCCAUUAAAUGCUCCAUCUAAAUAGGGUGUAGAUAUCUGGGGUGCAAUUAGGCUCCUGUGCUGAGUGCUUCUCAGUGUAAGUGUGCGGAUGCACUCUAACCUGAAUCUAAUUCUGCACAGAGGCCAAAGCAAAGGAGAGCUAUUUGUGUUGUAAUGAUUUAGUAGAAAUGGGCAACAUUACAUUUCAGCUCCCUUUUGGUCAACGAGCACGUUAGGACUUUCAGUGCACUCUACUCAAGACCUAAUUGCUUUUAGCAACUCCUGCACACAGAAGAUGCAUCAUCACAGUAAAUGCAGUGCCUUGUGUGAAGCAGAGGCAGAGAGAAGCACUGGCCAUCAGCAGUACAUGGCACACAGUACAGGAGCCUUGCAGCUAUCUCCAGUCACAGGUAUCCUACCACAGCUUGUAAAGACAGAACUGAACAAAUAAGUCAAAAUGAAUAAUAUAUUUGAUUAAUUUUGCCUCUCUCUGCUCAGGGAAUACAUGCAUACAUACAUAUAUAUAUAUGUACAUAUAAAAGUCAAUCACACCAUCUUGGAUUUAUUUGUUAUUCAGAUAUAUUCAGCAAUGUUCUUUUCACUAUAUAUUUUGUUUAACUCUAUGGAUUAAUCAUUAAAAAUGUACUGUCCCACUAUGAUUGGCCAGAUGUGCCACAUGACAACAGUAUUCUUCUGUGAGCAUCUGAGGAUGCCAGCACUUCUGGAGUAGUCCUUAUGCAUGCAAAAUUGAAAAUUCAGUUUUGACAAAUAUUUGCAAGUGCAUCUUUAGAAUUCACUUGCUGCCAAGAAAACUGUCAGUAAAAUUCAGCAGUUCUUAAAUUUGUAAAAUGUGAGAACUAAAACAUGCAUUUUAACAUUUGCAUUUAACUUAAUUAAUUUUUUUCCCCCAGUUUUAUCUGGAACUUUUAGAAGAAUGUAUCUCCCCUUAAAGGCUGCAGUGCUGCCCACUCUGAUGGAGUUACAUUUCCAAGCUACUGCUCCUGCUGUCGCACAGCUCUCCAGCUAUCUGCUUUCCUAAAGGAUGGCCUUUUUCUAAAUGGGCAAAUGCUUCAUGAAUUGUAUGGAAGCUUUCAAAAGUCAGGAGGUUUGCCCUGAUGGAUGAUACGUGCAUUGUUCCUGCAUUAAACAUUCCCUCAAUUAUUGAACUGUUCCUGUUGCACUGUUAGGAAAAAAAUGGAUUUGAGAACAACUCACUGAAUGCAUCCAUGAUGAUGUAAGUAUCAGAUGUGACUUAACAGAAAAAGCCAACCCACCAGAAAAAGUUCUCCUCUUCUUCCUUUACUAAAGCAGCUGCAGGAGGAGCAUUCACUGCAUGUACAAGGACAUGCAUUACAAAAAUGAGGGUCUGUCUGCUCUUCAGUUACACCUGACACACUGCUGGUUCAGUGGCUUAGGGCAGGGUUGGAGCAGAACAUCCCUAACUGCAGCCGGCAGAGCAGUAACUCUGCAUUUGUUAAGAUCCUAUGGGAUCCAUGGCAUGUCUUGGCUCAGCCACCACUGCCCAGGACGCAGAUGUGCACGUCCCAAGGCCCCGCGCAUUCUGCUGGCAAGAGAGAGGUACUGCCAGCACAGUGGGGCAGCUGGAACACAGCAGGACUCUCUGAUACAGCAAAAGCCAACAUCCAGUCCAGGCACAUAAGGGUCACCCAUCAAAGAAUCAUUCAGUUUUGAAAAGACCACUAAGAUUAUCCAGCUCAACCUCAACCCAUCCCACCAUGUCCACUAACCACGUUCCUCCGUGCCACAACUACACAGCCCUUGAACAUCUCCAGGGAUGGUGACACCACCACCUGCUUGGCCAACCUAUGCCAGACACCUCACCACUCCUUCUGUGAAGAUACUUUUCUUAAUACCCAACUGCAAGGAUCAGCUACAAAAACACAGCGGGGCAUUAACUCAUUCAACAAAUAAAUCUGGUGCUUUAGUUACCAAGCAGGAUGAUUUAAAUGGCUUAAUUUACACAUCACAGCAAGCUUUUCCUACUGCAAAUCAAUACAUUUGCAUAGGAUCUUAAAAUAAUCAGCACCAUGCUCCUGCAUAUAUUUCUUAAAUAGGUACAAAUUCCUUAAUGAAAGCCAGAAUCCCAUUGCCAGCCCUGUUUUCUGCUCGCCUGUAAGCUGGGCUUCCAGGGAAACACAGCUGCACCAAGGUCCCAGCAACACAGGAUUCCAGGCCACGUACAGGUGCACAGGGUCUCCUCAUACCACCCGGCAGGAGGGGAACCAGCAGUGGGGCUGUGCCUGAGUGCACCCGUGCCAGGGAGACAGGCAAACAGAGAGAAGGAUGGACAGAGCACUACUUCCCCUAGGGAAAAAACCACCCUGACACUUGCCAAACUGAAGCCUCUACCCAUGGUCAGCCCACUUUUCCCAUGUUUUGUUUGAUUUCUUGUUCUUCCACAUAGGAACGGUGCAAAGAACCACAGAUGUGGAAAAGAAGUUCCUGUGGUGGCCCAUUUCCUAGCAAGGUACAGUCCUAUUGCUCCUCAUCUCUUUCCAUUUCUCAUGCUUAAUUUAGUUUUCAUUGGAUCGUUGUUGGUGUUUUUUUAAUAUUUAUUACUCAUGGUUGAAACAUGUCAAACUUGACAAAACUUUAAGCAGAGGGAAGGAUAAAAAGUGUCUUGAAAAUCCUAUUUGCCCCUUAAUAAUUUAAUUCUGCAGAAAGGGAAAUCAAAGCAUCACAAAUUGAUUGCUAUGAAACAAAUUACAAUUAUUUCCACACAUCCAAAUAAAUGUACUAAUUUUAGGCAUCUGACUUCAGGCAUUAGAUGGAAUAUGCAAAUGCACAUGUUGAAAUGAUGGCCGUGUCUCUAGAGCUGCUUUCUGAUCCUUCAGUUCUUACUUGAUGCCUGAUCAUUCUAGACUGCUAUUGAAACAUGCAGUAAAUUAGCUGCUCUAUACUUUGCCUGUUAAAAAUAUUAAAAAGGAUACCUGAAAAGUUCUGCUGACAGCUUUAGGCAUCCAGCACUGGCUCCUCUCUUCUGGAAUGUAGACACCAGUGUCCACGACUGCUCUCCCCAGCCGUGCCUCCAAUUACUCCAUUCUGCUGCUGCAGCCAUUAGCCAGAGCCCUCUGCCCUGCUUUUAGAAAGAACAGCGUGCAAUGAAAUAUCCCUGUGAACACAACUUUUCCACAUAUAUUUUAAGAAGCACACUUGUUCUGCUGUCAUACUUCUUCACGUAAGAGAAGUCACAUGAUAUUGUUAGUGACAUACUAGUCUAGUGUGGGAUUUAAUAUUAGGCUUCAUUUAACUCACAGGGAUGGCAGAGCAAUCUCAAGUAAUCAAAAUAAAUGAAGGCGGCCUGAAUAAUGCAUUUGUUAAAUCUAAAUAACAUACAGUGGACACCUUUUUCCAGGAAAAUGUGACUCAGGUGCAGUAUUGAUUGAGAAGAUAAAGACAGGUGUUUUCAAUUCCUAUAUUGUGGAAGCAGAGAGGACUUUGAUAAUGUAACAAUCAUCUUUUGUUAUUUUGCUGCAGCCCAAUACAGCUAGAAUCAAUUUUUCAUUGUACUCAUUUACAGGAAAAGGGGAUAAUGGCAGGGACAACAUGGCUUUAAUAGAAAGAAUAAGUCAUGAUUUAAUUCAGAUGUUGUACUACAGCUACAAGUUGGAAGAUAUAUUUGGGUAUACAGAAACAGUACAAAGAAGGCUGCAUGCCUUCGAAUAGAAGUCACGGCUCCACAUUCCUAUUUAUUGGUAGUUAGGUGGAAUGAUGCAGCAUUAUCCUGACAGCAACAAGAAGCAAGAACCUUUUAAACAGGAAAAAAAGGAAGAGAAAAGAAAAAGGCUGUAGAAUUACAAGCAACCUUUAUAGGAAAAUAAAAUAAAAGGCAGCAGUAAAGGGCACAUUUAGGUCUUCAUUAAUAUUUGUAUUUAAGUAAAAACGACAAGCAGAACAGUCUGAAGAGAGGCCAAGUUCCAAAUCAAUGUGAGGCUUCUUUGAGCCACUGAUGUCUUUCACAAAUAUCUCAGGCAUUUUUUUGAUAAAUUUUGUGCUCAUGGAAAGUACUCAGGAUGAUGAUAAAAUAAUGAUUUUUUUUCUGGCAAAAUAGAUUGCUUCAUGACUUCUUGAAUGAAACACAAAUCUAAGAGUGAUAGUGGUCGGGGCUGGAUUAGUCCCCUGGGGUUACAUCCAGUGUAUGAAAUUUCAUAGCUUUUACAGUGAGUUCAAUAGUGCUCUUCUCUGUGGUGAGAUACUGUUGAACGACCCCUGAAAAACCAUCCCACAGGCUGAGCUUUGGAAAUGUUGUCACUGAAAACCACCAGGACUUAAUUUAGCCCACGUAUAGCCCUAAAAUAUUCUGCGUGGCACAUUUCUGGGCAGGGCUCAUUAGGCUUAUCUAAAUCCAAGUUUCACCACCAACUUUGGAGUAAUUCAGGACCCAAAGUCAAGCUUUAACGCUGAUUUCUACAUCUAAUAGAUCUGAAACUGAAUCUCAGCCUCUGCUUUUAACAAUCAACUUUUGCAGAAAAGCAGACAAAACGGGUAAAAUCCUUGUCUGGCAUUUCAGGCUUCCCCUGAAGAGGAGCCUGGUCUAGCCCUAACACUCUGUAAAUCUGAGCUCAUGUUUCUCUCUGAGGAGUAAGGGAAAAUGAAAAGAGUAAAACGAGAAAAAUCAGAGAGCAGAAUUAACCCCUUCUCCAUCAGCAGCAUCUCCUUGCUGAAAGUGCUCCUGCUCUGAAAUAGCCAACUAAACACUGUGUAGAAGGUGCGGUGUGGGACAGCCUGGGAGAGGCGCAGGUGUUUUGCCAGGUGGAGUUGCCCUGGCUAGGAGGCACCAUGCUGUGAACACCUAAGAUCUUAAAUAUGGGAAAGCAGAAUUUAAAUUAUGAAUUGACACUAUACAAGUACUGCCUCACUGCCUGCUGCUGACAGGAUCUCAAGGCCAGGAUCUCCAGCCCUGUACUUACCCAUGCUGCAAAACACAAGAACAUGGCAUAUCCACCUUUUCCUUACUGGCUCAAUCCAGAGGUGGCUGCCUGACUCCCCAUGGCAUAGGCGCAAGGACAGGCAGUUAGCCUCUUCCCCAUGCCCUUUUCAAAGGUCUGAGGCAUUUGAAGGAAUGAGCUCUUGAUCACUGCCUGUACAGCAGUUACAAUAUUACCUGACAAUGACAUAUGGCCUUUUACAUAUGUAAUAUAUGUCUUUUAAUAGAAGGAAAAACCUUCCCUUCCCUAUUAGAAGGGAAAUUCCAGAAUUCUUUACUUCCUCAUCCUUGAAGGCACAGCUGCCUUUUUGGAUAAAGUUAAUCUCUUCUUUGCUCCCUUUCUCUCCUCCCCAUUAUUUUUUCUAUUUUUCUAUUGUCUCCUUUUUUUUCUCCUCAUUAAAGGUUUGUUGAUUCCAGUGCAUACUGUUUAGUUUGAAAUGACACAGUUCAGGAGGGAAUUCCCCAGACAAAGAAGUUUUUGGGGAGCAGUUGGCAUUCAGGUUAGUACUGAUUUCACAAAUCAGGGAUUUUUCUUAAUUUUUUCUUAAAAUGAGAGAAGUCUCUAACCAGCUCUGACCAAGACAGCAAGUGAGCAUGGUGAAAGCUGUGCCCUUCCAAAUAUUACUCGGAGUUCCCAAAAGACCCUUCAUGCCCUGUGCAACUAAGUAGAGUUAAUUUUAACAGGAAAUUCCUCACUGCAAUCAGAAGAUGGGGUAAAAUAAUUAGCAAACUUUUCAUAACUUUGUUCUGUGCCACUAUGAGUGCUGUCUGUGAUCUGAAGCACAUUAAUAGGCACACUUCUGAGCUAGAAGGAAUCAAAGAUUGACUUCCUUACACAUAUAGGUGCUCCAGUUUCCUGGCAAGAAAGGGAAACUGAUACAAAGUGCACAAAGGACCCUAAUAUCAGCAAGAAUGUAACUAGCAGUGGAAUGCAUUAAAGAAGAUCGUUGUGACAAAUCAGGUUCCUAAGCAUGACUUUCCCUUUUCAUGCAGAGAAUGGACUGAUUCGUUCCCCAAACAAUGGGAAAUUUUGUGGAGGCUCUGGAACAGAUUGCUCUCUUUGCUCCAUUACUCACAGAUCAGCUCACCACGUUCAGCAACAAAGGCAGGGGCUAAACUCAUCUGAUCUGUUGUCCUCAAAUUAUGAAAAAAUAAUUUAGCUCAUAAGCAAUGAGGUGCUUCAAGAACUUGCUGAAAUGAAAGCAUCUCUCCAUCAGUACAACAGUACAGAUUCAGCUUCAACACAACUUGUAUGAUCUAUGCACUACUAUGUUACACUGUCUAGACCUCUCUAAGAGUAAUUGUGAAGAUUUUACAGUGUUUUUUUUCUGCUAGAAAAAAAAUACACUUAAACUGUGCUGUCUGACUGGAGUUAUAGAUCUCAGUAGGACACGGCCAUCACAUUUUUGGGAUAUGGGUAUGCCUGCUGGAUGAUAUACUAACAGUCCAGUGGCACAGUCUGAGGAUAUGAGGAGAUAGUACCGUUUCCACAUGCAUGACAUUUCUGUGCACCCAUUGCAUACUCUGUUUUUAUAUUUUGGCUGCCACUGCUCAGUGUCCGUGGACUAUGAUCUGAAUAUACAGAAAAUAAAAGUAGACUUUUCACACCUAAUGCAUUCAGCAUUAUUGGCUCCACUGCCCUCAGGAGCUCCAUGCCUGGGGGUUUCUUUCCAUGACCACACACUGCCAAUAAAUCUCUCUCUGUGCCUUGUUUCAACACACUGGAGAGACUACAGAAGACCAGCUACAAGGGGUACUGCCAAUUGCCCUUUCCCCAAUUGAAUUUAGUGAAACAUACUACCUAGAAAAGACAAUACAUGAAAGGAGAUCAUUCUUCAAUCUGCUUACAGAUGGACAUAGAAGAACUGGAUGUUCACUUUGAUCAGAAAAAUAAAUCUUUCAGAAACAAGUUCUGAGGCUCUUAAUCAUAUUGCAAAAACACAGUCCUAGAAAAAAAUCCCACAGUAAUCCAUGUUUUUAUUCAGAACAUUUUCAUUGUUAAUGCAUCAGAUUUUGCUUUUAUCUGACUAACACUCAGUGAUACAACAGACAGUGUUUGCGUACAGAGGAGGAGUAAGAAAGGAGCACUGCAGCUGAUAGAGGAAGGAUGGAGGAUGGCUGGUUGGAUGUUUGCACCAGUAAAUAGCAUUACAUGAAACUGUAAAAGCAUUCAGGUGCAUCUUGUUUUGCUUCCAUAUAACUAAAAAGGAAGCAACUGAUUUGCAGCUUGGGAUUUGAAAUAGCUGAUAAAAAGCCAGAAAAUCAUUGAUGAUCAAGUACUGCUGAGCAGCUGCAGCAUCACGCUGAAACCUUUUGGGCCAGUGCCAGGCUACCUGCUUAAUGUCUGGAGAUGGAGAGCUGUUUGGAACUGCUGAGUGACAGCAUAACAAGGUAUGUACACUGCCUGGUCCACAGACAGGCCUAGGGAUAAGAUUCUUCUUUAAAAAAGGGCAUGUUCUAAUUUAAUUUAAAUCUGAUCAGCAGUCUUCUGUGUUGCUCAUUUGUUAUUUUCAGACCUGAAGGCAGUCUGAGUGCCUGUUGAUAGCUUUCCUGAAAAGAAAUCUGCUUUUUGUCUUCAAUGAAUUCCGGGCAAAGCCCUGAUUGAGAUACCCAGAGAAACCUGGAAUGCCCAGAUCUCACAAUAACCUCAUGUAUCCCAGGCACCGACUACUCCUUUAUCCUGCACACACUGGCCACAGUUCCUUACUCUGCAACAUGCCUUGUGCUCAGUUCUUGUGCAGAACAUACAAACAUACUCUCUCCAUCAGAGUUCAGGGCCUAGAAGCCUUCCUGAUCCCAAACCUGCCAGCCCUUCAGGGUUUUGCAGCACCAACCCAGACAGACCUGUUCUAUGUCACCCUUCCUGCCUCCUGUGCUGGCAGCAGCACUGUUCUUCCUCCUGCACAGGACACCAAUAGUGCUUAUGCCCCUGCAGAUGGGAGGAGGGGAUGCUCACAGUGCUGUCAGACACUUAACAGAAAUGCUCUUUGGGGAGACUAACAUUUAAUGAGAAGGCUUCUUCCUUAUCUGCUUCAAACUGCAUCUCCUGACUGACUCUACAGAGUACAUGGGUAACUAAACUCCUAUUUUAGGUUUGAGCACAGUCCUUCUUGCAUGAAUGAGUUUGACAGUAUGCUCUCUGCUAAGUAGGACCACUUGGCAAAUGAGAACAUGACUGUGUAAAGGAAGACAAGACCACAUCUGCAAUAGUUGGGUUGUCUCACAUUGUAGCACGAGUGUGUUGCAGACAUCAGAAAGGAUCAACUUGAACAUCACCUGUGCCCAACACAUAAUGCAUAGUACCAGUGCCUGUGCUACUGGGCUACUCCUUGCUCAGCUUCAGGAAGGCCUACAGGCAUUAAGCUAACCCAGGUGCUGCUGCACUCAAUUUAUUGUACAGACACAAGCUUGAUGUUUACUUCACAGAAACCCUAUGCCUACCCUGAAGUAAAACAUGAGGAAGACUUCAUGUCAUUCUGCACAUAUCUCAGUGAAAUAAAACAGAUAGCUUUGAGAUUUUUACAUACAUACAAGUAUACACUCACAUAUAAAGAGGCUUGGGUGAAAAUAUGAUUUGAAAUGACUGCCUGAUAUCUCAGUAUCACUGGAUUAUUCUUCUGGAGAACUCCAGCACUAUUUCAUUGGAGCGAGCAGUCAAGAAGCUGCUCAACGACUCUGCUGGCAUUAACUCACGAUUUCCUUCACCUAACCUUUUUGUUUUCAGUAUUGUCAAAUUGUAGAGAUGUAGAAAAAGAUGGGGAAUUCCAGCCUAAAAGCCAGUUUCCUCUGCUACAGAAAGAGAGAUCGCUAAGGUCGAGGAUUGUCUAAAGCAAUACUGCACUAAUCUCUGUAGCCCCAUUUGAACAGUGAGUCAGUUCACAUAAUCUAACCUCAAGUCAGCUGGAAAAAGAAUGGUUUUGGUAACACUUUGCAGUCACCUGUGUUUCAGAAUUUAGUCACAGUACAUUACUGGAUACCAGCUCACUGUUGUAACAGUAUAUCUUUAUGCAGGUAGCAAUUUUUCUUAUAUUUUUCUCAUGCUUCGCUGCUUAUUGAGUAUUUUUAUAUACCCCAUAUUUGUUUUCAUCAACUACUAUUUAAAAAUAUGUGCUGGAUUUUUUCCACCUACAGAAAUCAAGUGGCUCAAAUCCAUCUACAGUUCGUUAAGUACACUCCAAAGGUAGUAAAUACUGCCACAAAGUGCCCAGCUGCCCCACUAUUUCAGAGCUCGCUAUGACUUACCCUAGUUGACUCCCAAACUGCCUUUGUCUCCCAAACUAACUGCAUGAGCCACUCAGGGCUGGCUGCUAAAACACUAUCAGAACAACAGACUUUGCUAUAUAUGUCAUACAGCACAGGCCACCUGAAGAGCUUUUAUUUUAUAUUAAAAACAGGGAUUGUUUCAGCAAUUUUAUGCGAAGUCAGAAAUCAAACUAAUACAUGUUUUUUGUUUUUUGUUUUUUUUUUCCUUAAAAGCUGAUUUUAAAGAAACAUGAAACCUAAUGGGAAACAGUCAAUGCAGAAGUCACUCCCUGCUGAAACGUGCCAGCAACAGAAGAGGUAGUGACACACUGUUUGAAACAGAAGGCUACCAAAAUGGACACCAAAUAUGAUGCAGAAUUUGACUAAGAUUAGGUGAAAUUUGUCACAAACUUCAAGUCAGGGGGAUUUUUGAAGUUGUGAGAGCAAUGCAAAUUAUGCUCAAAGUGUUUAGACUUCAGUGUGGAUAUUUGUAAGACUCUGUUGCACCACAGCUGGGUUUUGGCAGCCCUGCUUUCCUGCUCAUUUCCAGCUUCUGGAAAUCCCAGUGAUUAUGAGCUACUUGGUAAAGCUACCUUUUUACCUCUCAAUUGGCUGCUGUGGAAACAGAUAUUCAAAGUUAAAUUUCAUGUUGCUUAGAAGUCAUCCUCUUUUUUCAUUUGGCCUAAGGUCAGCAGACUUAAAAGAAGGCUUCAGACAACUGGGGUGAAGGAAAGCAAAGCCCCAAGCUGAGCUAUACAGUUUCAAUGCCUCCUGCCCAGGCAGGGCCCUUGGCUACUGUGGUUCUAUUACUGACCUCAUGGGGAUGGCAGAAGAGGCAUGGCUGGACCUUGACAACUUUUCAUAGCUCCUUUAAAGGGAGAAUGGUUGUAAUUUCCAGAACAAAUGAAAACUCUCAAUGUUGCAGUGAAUUUUUGGAAAGGUAAAGUGGUUUUUCAACAUAUCUACUUAAAACAUACAAAAGCACAUUCCUCCCUUCUCCCAUUAAAGGUCAUCAAAACAGAAAGGGACAGCCAAGGACUGGGGUUAGGCUCAACAUGUGGUUUGAGACCCUGCAAUUACACUCUGCUUUUCCAGAAACUUCCUUGAAAAACAAAACCCAACUUGUAAAUAUAUUCAGAGUAAAGAACCAAACCAUUUCAUAUUGUAAUUUUAUACUUUCAUUUCUGUGAGUGUAUGUAUAUUUAUGCCUUUGUUAGUAUUUUAUUUUGCCACCACUUAGAGAUUCUGAAGAUGAAAUUGUCAUGAGUUUUUCCACAAGUAUUUCUGUAUGGAAUGGUGUAGUGAGAUGUAGAAAGUCAGGCAGAGAAAGAAUAUUCUACACUGAUCACUGAAUGCAUACAAAUGCAUCUGAAAACAGGAUGAGCUUCAUGAUUUUGGAAUCAGAUCUCCAAAGAUUAUUCCUGGUAAGAGCUGUAAGAGCUGUUAGAUGAAACUACCCCAUUGCUGCUUUGUGUUUUCUGUCUGUUGCUUUAAAUUAACACUUAGAAAAAUAUGCAUUGCAGCUCCAUCUCACUAAUGUCUGAGUAAUGGAACACAGUUUUUAAGCUGGCCUACAUACAGAAUUUCAAGAACAAAAGAAAACACUUGAAGAUAAAGCCUUAUGUGCUGAAUUCCAGCUCUUCAGAAGGACAAGUGGUGGUAAGAACAUUGUCUUUUAAAUAAAACAAGAAGACCUGAUCCUCCCUAACACCCUGGUAACUAAACAGGCUCUAACAUCACCAAUAGAAACCUUAACAGAAAGAACUGCCUGAUUCAAGGUCACAACAGCAGGGCAAGGAAUUCAGCCUCAUGACUUUAGAUCGCAAGCAAGCUAUUUAGAGUGAUAAUUUCUUCUUUUCUCUCAGCUAGAAACAUCCACGCAGAAUAUAAAAUCAUAGCAUACUAAGUGGCAAGGCCACCUUUCUGUCUUUUACAGCAUGUAAAGCUUCUUACUUCCCUUUUCUGAUUCUCAAAUAUCACAAAUGUUACAAGGUCACAAUUAAAUUUUAAAAUAAAAAUAUGAACUUGUCUUUACAAAAGAAAAUCUUUUUUUUUUUUUUUUUUACUAGUUUUUAUCCUCUACAAAUUUGCCCUGUGAAGAAUGGAAAGGGCAUAAAAAACCAUCACCGCUUAUUCUAAACCUCACAUGGUAUAGAUUAUUUAACAAAGUCUCACUACUUCUAUCAAUAACAAGAACUGUUCUGAAGAACAGUACAGGAACCACGACAAACAUACGACUCUCAUGCCAUUGGUUGCAGAUCACUGUGUCCCACCACUUCUCAGGAGGGAUCCAAAUCGCUUUAUCUCUGCAUCACUCUGAGAAAAAUAUGACAAGCAUAUGUUUUCUACUCGUGCAAUUCACAGUCUGCUUCUCCAGCAAUACAAAACUGAAGGCAAGCACAUUUCACACGUGAGCUUCAUACUUUACAAGGAAUGAAAGGUCAAAGGGCAGCAGGCAAAAGCUAUUUGCCACUCAGUUCUAAUUUCCUUCAUAAAUUAUUAAGCCAUCCCUUACGCAUUUCCAUCUUUGAUAGUCUUGUGGUAUGAAGUGUAAGUCAAUGGAUAAGCUAAUUGCAAUAAGCAGAAGUGGUAUUUAAUGCACUGGACACUUUCAAUAGCAAAGUAGUUCUAAUUAGUGUUUCUAACUGAUGUGACAGCAGUUUACAGAGCGCCAAAAUAGUCCCUCAUUUGUCAAGUGGGUCUGAAGCUUAUGGCAGCUUUCUGAUCAUCUCCCUUGCCGCAGGACCUGAAAGCACCUUCAAAAAGCUUUCUCUCAUUGAUCUUUAGUCAGAUGCUGACUGAAAGGCACACAGCUUUGCCAGAAAGAAGAUAGAUAGAUGCUGCACCAGCAUGAAAAUGUCACUUGCUUAAUGAAAAAGGGUAUCUGCUCAGAACCUCUCUUUAUGCAUGUAUAUGCACACACAUGCACAUGUACAAGCCCAACAAAGCUAUGAAGAAGCAGGUUAUUAAGCAGGUGAAUACAUGUGAAGUGCUGAGUAAACCUCUCACAUCAGUUCAUGUACAGCAGCAUGUAUUUACACUAUACAUGCACAGAGAUGAUCAUAUAGCCUAUAACUGAAAUGCAGAAAUUUUAAAAGGCAUGUUAAGUUCUUCCCUCUAGACCUUUCAUUGAGUAUUCGGGACACAGCACAGGCAAACUUCACCAUUAGUUUCAAAAUGUCAGAAUUUACUUUCCUUGUCUAUGAUUUUUCUUCUAAUGUAUCGAUAGUUCAGCUAUCCUGCUGUUCUCUAAGGGCUGAGGGAGUAAAUGAUGGUGUGUCAGAUAAAGAGCAAGUAUUUGCCAAGUAGUGUCAAGAAAGUUCAGAACAGUUUUCUUUUUGUUAUACUUGUUUUAUAGCCAUCAUUAAAUAAUUAACUACUGUGGUCUGUUUUAGGAAAAACUAUCACAAUUUCCCUUGCAUUUUAGACAGCACUCAAAAGGGUCCUACAAACAUCUACAAGAACAAAGAAAGGGGAACUUCCAAAUAUUCUUCACAGAUCCUCUGCAAAGCAGGCCUUUCAAAGGCUACCCUUAAACUAAUAUAGGCGCACCAGAUACUAGGAGUUGGGCUGAAGCAGUACAACCAGAAUUGUUUUAGACGGCACAGUGAAUAAACUUACCAGAGCUACGAAUAGCUCUGAAGCAAGCACAGUACGGAAGGAAAAGACCUUCAUGUCUGAAGAGGAGACCAAUGCCUCCCUCAGUAGUGCUCACCCCUGCAAAUAUUCAGUAGUUUGUAAAGUAGUAUGUGCUUCAACCAGCUGUACUAGCACAACCAUUUCAGAUCAAUUGUCAAGGUAGAUGCAGAUAAUUCUUUCCUCUUGUAGGAGACCACAGCUCAUAAAAACAUGGAAGGCAAUGUCACUUAGUGCAGCACAGGCAAUUAGGAGCAUGGAAGGGAUGGGGUCAGAACACGAGUCAGUAAUAAUAGAGUGAGCACUAAUUGGAGAAGUUUUUUAUUAGUGCUCGCACAUCAAAUUAGUCAGAUGGCUCAGGCACACACAGAGCAGCAGCAAAGUGUGUGCACCAUGUGCCUGCCCCAGCACAGAGCCACGUGCAUGGUACAUCUCACUGCCUCCUUCUCCCCAUGCUCUCUGGACUCAGGCUCUCUUGCAGUUCCUGUCUGUGUCAGCCCCACCACCUUUCAAAGCAGGUGAUGGAUCUGCCUAGCUAAUAAAGGUAAUAAAAGGUUUUUGACUAAGGCAUUAUUGUGCCAAAUCCAAAUGGCUGAAUCCUGUUAAUUUUGCAGUCUGGCUGUUCUGCAGUGUGAGGGAGGCAAGGCACAUGCAGGGCUACAGGGCGGCACAACCUGCCCCUCCCAAGCUCUGUACACACCAUGAUGAUAAAGAGAUGAAACCAGCAGCACCUGCAUGAGGGACACCCAACAGACAAAGCGAGCAUCUCCACCAACAAGCCACAAACCUGGUCUGAAACAAGUAAGUGUGGAAGCAGUUUUUAACCGCCAUCACAACACAGGUACUUCACAGGCAGGAGAGCUGGUGGGGGGAUCCUGUGGUUACUAAGCAAGGAUUUGCAUUUACCCUGGUUUGAUUUAAUUUUAGGUGUUUUUAUGUUGGAUUUCAUGGGAGGUAAUAGAUAAUUAGUGGCCCUUUCCUUCCUUUGAAAUUCUCAUAUUGAUUCUAUGAAAGAUCCAUAAUGUCAAGCAGCAUUGUUUAGAUUAAAAACAAAUUGCCAGAAAACUUGCUUUUGUAAUAGAUGUGUGCUUUCUGCUGCUUCUGAUGUUUCUUUAAAAAGCAGACAGCAAACGAUGGAGGAGAGGCUGUUCCAUAGAAUCCCAGUCUUGUUUGUCGUUUCCCAAAGAAUGUUAUCACAGGACAGAAGCAGCCACAGUAUCAUUGUUUUAACAUGGUUUAGGAUAUUAUUUUGGUCAGAGAUGCAAAUGUCAUGGAGAGACAAACAAGCAAGUUCUGCUGUAUAUCAAGUUGCAUUUUCUGUUAUUUAAAAAGUUACCUUCUCACCAGUUGCCUCAGACCCCCUCUAUUUCACAGUUGUCUUCCCAGUCCCUUGCUGUCUUGUUUUUCCUGUAUUUUAGGAAUUUGCUCUUUUACCACUUGAUCCACUUAUUGACUUUUUCUCUGAUCCUAUUUUAUGUUGUCCCAGUGAGCCUCCAUACUCUUUUAUCAGAGGCCCUAUAUCUUCACACUAAUUUCUCACUAAACAAUAGCUCUCCAAUUUCUUUUGUAGCUCUAGAUCUGUUGUGAAUAUUAAUAGCUUCUUUCAAGUUCUACAUUUGUGGAAAAGAGCGCUAGUGUUUGAUCUCUGGCUUUUCUUGAAUACACUUGUACUUCUGCAAUGGGGGCUCAGAUCUCUUUUAUGUUUUCCUAGAAGAUCCCUUCCUUCAUUUCUAUCUUUCUGUUUUAUUGCAGAGAUGGAAGCUGUGGUGGACCUUUAAACAUUUUUCCUUAUUAAGCAAGUCUCCUCACACCAGCACAGUCUGUGGUAAUUUCUGCCCUCAUUGUGGACUAUUUCUGUACACUCCCUAAAGGCAUCAAGCCAUUCAGGUAGUAGCAUGUAAUUUGUUUUGUACUGUGGAAUUCCUGCCAUGCCUAUAUGUAUUUAGACCACAGGCAAACCAAUAAAGUUGUCAUAGAAACAAAGCAUUUCAUGAAUAAAUCAAUUCAUAAUAAACUUGUAAACUUUGAAGAA